rnacentral:lncRNA from 1 species
CAAGUUAUACAUUUCUAAUAUUGUGAGACUUCAUGGGGUUUCGGUUUUCAUGAUUUCAAAUAGAAAUCCUCAUUUCACUUCUCGAUUUUGAAAGAAGCUUCAUAAGGCUUAGGGUUCGAGGUUGGAUUUCAGUACUGUGUUCCAUCCUUAGAUAAAUGGUCAAUCUGAUAGGGUGAUUCAGAUACUGGAGGAUAUGCUUUGG